rnacentral:pre_miRNA from 1 species
CAAACAACCGGACCGUCAGUCUACCGAGUAAUAACACCCGUUUGGUGGAAAAUGUUCCUUUCGUUAU